rnacentral:rRNA from 1 species
CACAUGCAGUCGAACGGAGCUUACUUAGACGGAGUUUUCGGACAAAGACUAUAUAAGCUUAGUGGCGGACGGGUGAGUAACGCGUGAGGAACCUGCCUUUCAGAGGGGGAUAACGUUUGGAAACGAACGCUAAUACCGCAUGAUACAGUAUGGCGGCAUCGCCUAACUGUCAAAGGAGCAAUCCGCUGAAAGAUGGCCUCGCGUCCGAUUAGCCAGUUGGCGGGGUAAAGGCCCACCAAAGCGACGAUCGGUAGCCGGACUGAGAGGUUGGACGGCCACAUUGGGACUGAGACACGGCCCAGACUCCUACGGGAGGCAGCAGUGGGGGAUAUUGCACAAUGGGCGAAAGCCUGAUGCAGCAACGCCGCGUGAGGGAAGAAGGUUUUCGGAUUGUAAACCUCUGUCCUCGGUGACGAAACAAAUGACGGUAGCCGAGGAGGAAGCCACGGCUAACUACGUGCCAGCAGCCGCGGUAAUACGUAGGUGGCAAGCGUUGUCCGGAAUUACUGGGUGUAAAGGGAGCGCAGGCGGGGAAGCAAGUCAGCGGUGAAAUACAUGGGCUUAACCCAUGAACUGCCGUUGAAACUGUUUUUCUUGAGUGAAGUAGAGGCAGGCGGAAUUCCGAGUGUAGCGGUGAAAUGCGUAGAUAUUCGGAGGAACACCAGUGGCGAAGGCGGCCUGCUGGGCUUUUACUGACGCUGAGGCUCGAAAGUGUGGGGAGCAAACAGGAUUAGAUACCCUGGUAGUCCACACUGUAAACGAUGAUUGCUAGGUGUGGGAGGUCUGACCCCUUCUGUGCCGGAGUUAACACAAUAAGCAAUCCACCUGG